GGGCCGUUAGCUCAGUUGGUCAGAGCAGCGGACUCAUAAUCCGUUGGUCGCUGGUUCGAGCCCAGCACGGCCUA
rnacentral:tRNA from 1 species